ACCACUGAGCCACCUUCCCAGCCCGUUUUGUUUGUUUUAAAAGUAAAAGUUGGGCUGGGGAGGUGGCUCAGUGGU
rnacentral:pre_miRNA from 1 species